UUUGAUAAGUUAGAGGUGAAAUUUCGGGGCUCAACCCUGAACGUGCCUCUAAUACUGUUGAGCUAGAGAGUAGUUGCGGUAGGCGGAAUGUAUGGUGUAGCGGUGAAAUGCUUAGAGAUCAUACAGAACACCGAUUGCGAAGGCAGCUUACCAAACUAUAUCUGACGUUGAGGCACGAAAGCGUGGGGAGCAAACAGGAUUAGAUACCCUGGUAGUCCACGCAGUAAACGAUGAUAACUCGUUGUCGGCGAUACACAGUCGGUGACUAAGCGAAAGCGAUAAGUUAUCCACCUGGGGAGUACGUUCGCAAGAAUGAAACUCAAAGGAAUUGACGGGGGCCCGCACAAGCGGAGGAACAUGUGGUUUAAUUCGAUGAUACGCGAGGAACCUUACCCGGGCUUGAAAGUUAGCGACGAUUCUUGAAAGAGGAUUUCCCUUCGGGGCGCGAAACUAGGUGCUGCAUGGUUGUCGUCAGCUCGUGCCGUGAGGUGUCGGGUUAAGUCCCAUAACGAGCGCAACCCCUACCGUUAGUUGCCAUCAGGUCAAGCUGGGCACUCUGGCGGGACUGCCGGUGUAAGCCGAGAGGAAGGUGGGGAUGACGUCAAAUCAGCACGGCCCUUACGUCCGGGGCUACACACGUGUUACAAUGGUAGGUACAGAGGGCAGCUACCCAGCGAUGGGAUGCGAAUCUCGAAAGCCUAUCUCAGUUCGGAUCGGAGGCUGAAACCCGCCUCCGUGAAGUUGGAUUCGCUAGUAAUCGCGCAUCAGCC
rnacentral:rRNA from 1 species